rnacentral:rRNA from 1 species
AGUUUGAUCCUGGCUCAGAGUGAACGCUGGCGGCAGGCCUAAUACAUGCAAGUCGAACGGCAGCACGGCAGAGCUUGCUCUGUGGGUGGCGAGUGGCGGACGGGUGAGGAAUACAUGGGAAUCUGCCCAGUCGUGGGGGAUAACGUAGGGAAACUUACGCUAAUACCGCAUGCGCCCUUCGGGGGAAAGCCGGGGACCUUCGGGCCUGGCGCGAUUGGAUGAGCCCAUGUCGGAUUAGCUAGUUGGCGGGGUAAUGGCCCACCAAGGCGACGAUCCGUAGCUGGUCUGAGAGGAUGAUCAGCCACACUGGAACUGAGACACGGUCCAGACUCCUACGGGAGGCAGCAGUAGGGAAUAUUGGACAAUGGGCGCAAGCCUGAUCCAGCCAUGCCGCGUGAGUGAAGAAGGCCCUCGGGUUGUAAAGCUCUUUUGUCCGGAAAGAAAAGCGCCGGGUUAAUACCCUGGUGUCCUGACGGUACCGGAAGAAUAAGCACCGGCUAACUUCGUG